AAGGGUGGUUAGGGAAAACAAAGACUAAAGUCGAACUAACUCAUUACUGUGAUAAGCCCAUAUGAUAAAAUGAAGCCCGCCCACGAAAGUGACUUUAUUAACCCUGAACCCACGAAAGCUAAGAAACAAACUGGGAUUAGAGACCCCACUAUGCUUAGCCCUAAACAUAGAUUUUACCAUUCCGUCCGCCUGGGGAUUACGAAUCCCAUUUAAAACCCAAAGGACUUGGCGGUGCUUUACAUCCCCCUAGAGGAGCCUGUUCUAGAACCGAUGAUCCCCGUUCAACCUCACCCUCUCUUGCCCCCCCCCCCGCUUGUAUAUCUCCGUCGCAAACUUACCCUGCGAAGGACACAUAGUGAGUUUAAUUGAUACCUUACUCCAGAACGUCAGGUCAAGAUGCAGCUAAUGAGAGGGAUAAGAGAUGGGCUACAUUCCCUACUUCCAGGGAAAACGAAUGUUAUGAAUUGAAACAUCAAACUGAAGGUGGAUUUAGUAGUAAGCAGGGAACAGAGUGUCCUGCUGAAACUCGGCCCUAAAGUGUGCACAGACCGCCCGUCACCCUCCCCAGGAAAUCCUUAACUCAGGUUAACUAAAACCCCUUAUGCCCACAAGGGGAGGAAAGUCGUAA
rnacentral:rRNA from 1 species